GGAAAUCACACCCCGUUAUGGAUCUGUCACUCACACUGCGAGACUGAACUGGGGAGUAACUUCCCUUCUCUUCACCCUAAUGCGAAUCCUUCGCACUCCGAUCCCUUCCCGUUUUGGCUUUUCAGGCACAACCUAGCUUAUCUUCGAUCUUCGUCUACAUGCCCAAAGAGAAGAGCCCUGGCUUGAAGAUCCUAUGGAUCUGGACCAUCGGAACCGCCGCGAUUUUGAUCACCAGCGUGGUGAGGACGAGAUUGAGGGACCUUGAGAACGCCAUGAACGCUGACCAUCAACAUCAUCAACAACAACAACAAAACCAUGAGGUGUCGCUUGGUUCGGCAGUGGUGGACACUUUCCCUUCUUCUGAAGAAUCAAAGCCGGAUGAUAAAGUCUAGGUGGGGCUAUAAUCAAUCUUUUCUUCCUCUUUGAUUGGUCCUUUUUUCGAUUGUCUGUUUGAAGGAUUCGAUUUUGCGAUGGGAAAGAGAGCACACGCAAGGUGUUUGUUCAAUGUCCUCAGUGAAACUCACUGCUUUUUUAACCCCCAAAAUAUUUGAGAGACAAUUAGGUUUGAGUUGUCUCAGUGCGCUUUUUUUUCCCCUUGUUCGGCAUUGGCUUCCUAAGGAGGGAACCCUCCUCCGCAUCCGCUUACUAAAUUUGACGGUACAGAUUUUGUA